GGGUGUUUGGUCUAGUGGUAUGAUUCUUGCUUUGGGUGUAAGAUGUUGUGAUUUCGAUUCUCACAACACCCC
rnacentral:tRNA from 1 species